rnacentral:rRNA from 1 species
UACAGAGGGUGCAAGCGUUGCUCGGAAUUACUGGGCGUAAAGCGCACGUAGGCGGGCUACUAAGUCGGGGGUGAAAUCCUGGAGCUCAACUCCAGAACUGCCCUCGAAACUGAUAGUCUUGAGUUCGGGAGAGGUGAGUGGAACUGCGAGUGUAGAGGUGAAAUUCGUAGAUAUUCGCAAGAACACCAGUGGCGAAGGCGGCUCACUGGCCCGAUACUGACACUGAGGUGCGAAAGCGUGGGGAGCAAACAGG